rnacentral:rRNA from 1 species
AGCGGAAAGGCCCUUCGGGGUACUCGAGCGGCGAACGGGUGAGUAACACGUGAGCAACCUGCCCCAAGCUUUGGGAUAACCCUCGGAAACGGGGGCUAAUACCGAAUAGGACUUCUGGCCGCAUGGCUGGUGGUGGAAAGUUUUUCGGCUUGGGAUGGGCUCGCGGCCUAUCAGCUUGUUGGUGGGGUGAUGGCCUACCAAGGCGACGACGGGUAGCCGGCCUGAGAGGGCGACCGGCCACACUGGGACUGAGACACGGCCCAGACUCCUACGGGAGGCAGCAGUGGGGAAUAUUGCACAAUGGGCGGAAGCCUGAUGCAGCGACGCCGCGUGAGGGAUGACGGCCUUCGGGUUGUAAACCUCUUUCAGCAGGGACGAAGCGAGAGUGACGGUACCUGCAGAAGAAGCACCGGCCAACUACGUGCCAGCAGCCGCGGUAAGACGUAGGGUGCGAGCGUUGUCCGGAUUUAUUGGGCGUAAAGAGCUCGUAGGCGGCUUGUCGCGUCGACCGUGAAAACUUGGGGCUCAACCCCAAGCCUGCGGUCGAUACGGGCAGGCUAGAGUUCGGUAGGGGAGACUGGAAUUCCUGGUGUAGCGGUGAAAUGCGCAGAUAUCAGGAGGAACACCGGUGGCGAAGGCGGGUCUCUGGGCCGAUACUGACGCUGAGGAG